GACGUAGGGCGCGAGCGUUGUCCGGAAUUAUUGGGCGUAAAGAGCUCGUAGGCGGUGUGUCACGUCGGCCGUGAAAACCUGCAGCUUAACUGUGGGCGUGCGGUCGAUACGGGCAUCACUGGAGUUCGGCAGGGGAGACUGGAAUUCCUGGUGUAGCGGUGAAAUGCGCAGAUAUCAGGAGGAACACCGGUGGCGAAGGCGGGUCUCUGGGCCGAUACUGACGCUGAGGUGCGAAAGCGUGGGGAGCAAACAGG
rnacentral:rRNA from 1 species